AACGACCCCACUAAUCUCUCCCUCUCCCUCUCGUCGAAAUUCCAAUUCCACUCGCCUCGCCUCGCCUCCCCCACCUUCCGAUUCGCUCGCGUAUUAUAUUGCGCCGUCUCGAGACUUCUAGAUCCUUCCAGUGGAACCCGCCGCCGCUUCUGGAUCCUUCUCCUGCCCCUCAUUUUAAGCGCCACCUCCCCCGCCCCCCCACGCCACCGACCGAGCUGCCGGCGGAGGUGCGAAGCCAUCGAGUUAUUGCAUAUGGUGGCACCAAGCAUGAGGUUACAACUGCAUUACUUGCAAGGGAAUCACAAGUCACAAGAAACACAUGUUAUUACAAUGGAUAAUCAAUGGGUCAUCAUACUAUGACUUUCUUGCAAGUUGUGCAGUUGUUGCCUCAAGCUUGCUGCCUCCGUCUGUCAGAACUGCAACUAAGCUAGGAAGUUCAAUCAGGUUUUUUUUUUUUAUCUUGAACAGUAAAUUCAAUGUUGACAAUUAAUGUAGUAAUGAUUUCUUAAGGAAUGAAUACUAAUUUUGUGUUCAUGGGGAUCGAUAGUCUUUUUUAAACAUCAUGUUUAAACACGAUCAUUACUGGUGCUUUGAGUAGAGCCUAAUACUGCAUUACUAUUUAUUGCUUGCUGUUAUAGUUUGUUACGUACCAUGUCCAUUCCUUAAGGAAGCUAACAAUAGAUCUAUCUUUUGUAUUUUCCUCUUCGUGACACCUUUUUCAAUUGGAUACGUGCAGUAUAAAACUAUCGAAUUCACAUUAAGAGUGCGAUAUAUUUUGGGAUCUUCAUUCUCCUUAUUUGAAUCAUGAUCUUGUUCACAGUAUAUAUUCUAUGUAAUAUGAGUAUGACUACAUGGAACACCUACUAUGUCCUCGAUAAAUUAUAAGUAGCUUUUGAUCCUCCUAAGAUUUUUAUCUUAUGAACACAUGAUUACCAUUGACUGUUUUCUUGGGAAAAAAAUUAACAUGACCCGCUUGUUUCAGGUCAGCUUGUGACCUGUAUUGUACGUUAGUAUUAUUGUUUUAUGGUGUAAUUGCUAGUAGUUAUCAACCCAUGCACCUGUACGGGCUAGAAAUUUAAAACAUGUUUGCCUAGUGCCGAAUAAUUUAGGAUUUACUAAAU
rnacentral:lncRNA from 2 species